UUCGAGAUAACUAAGGCCACCUGCUGUCGCAUUUGUGGAAAGCGUCCAUCCUAAUUGAGCCACAUCUCCACAUUACUAAGAUCCCUUUCGAUAGGCCCCUAGACUCUAUAGCAUAUGAGCUCUACACCGUAGGGAUUAGCCAUCCAGCAUGGGCAAGGCUCACCCCCAAAAGCUGAGUCUCAAGAAGAACACAGAUAUUAGGCUAGUGCUGCUAGAUAAUCCUGCCUAGCAUCGAUCAAAACAAGAGCUUCUCCAUCCCUCGGGGGUUCCAAAUCAGCACCCUCAUGGUGAUAGCUGAAGGGGAAGG
rnacentral:lncRNA from 1 species